rnacentral:misc_RNA from 1 species
UUUCCGUAGGUGAACCUGCGGAAGGAUCAUUACAACGUAUCCAACGUAACAACCGUGAACUACCCCUUUGGUUGCGGGACCAAAUGCAGGCCGCUGCUUUGGUUAUGAAGUUAGUUAGGCUGAACUGUUAACAGAGUGCUCCGUUGAUGGAGUCGCCUGGAAAGUCCAGGCGCCUGGAGCACCAGUUCUUGGCCCGGAUUAGUCCUUCGUGGACGUGUCCGAACUUCGCCUGCGCCAAAGAGUACCAACCAUCAGUUCUAUUGUACCCUUUACUAACCCUGUAACCUAUUGUACUGAACUCUGAAAGCAUUGCGGCAGUCCUUGUUGGCUUCGGUCACGGACCGCCUAACGCUCUGUCUUUCUUUACGAUUUACGUAAUUAAGAACAACUCUUAACAACGGAUAUCUUGGCUCUC